UGCCCGCCUGCAAAAUCCUGGCAGUAGACGCUGAAGAAGAAGGAAGCUUGGCUCUUCCUUGGGAUGAGUUGCGAACGGGUGAGUAACGCGUAGGUAACCUGCCUUGUAGCGGGGGAUAACUAUUGGAAACGAUAGCUAAUACCGCAUAACAAUGGAUGACACAUGUCAUUUAUUUGAAAGGGGCAAUUAGCUCCACUACAAGAUGGACCUGCGUUGUAUUAGCUAGUAGGUGAGGUAAUGGCUCACCUAGGCGACGAUACAUAGCCGACCUGAGAGGGUGAUCGGCCACACUGGGACUGAGACACGGCCCAGACUCCUACGGGAGGCAGCAGUAGGGAAUCUUCGGCAAUGGGGGCAACCCUGACCGAGCAACGCCGCGUGAGUGAAGAAGGUUUUCGGAUCGUAAAGCUCUGUUGUAAGUCAAGAACGGGUGUGAGAGUGGAAAGUUCACACUGUGACGGUAGCUUACCAGAAAGGGACGGCUAACUACGUGCCAGCAGCCGCGGUAAUACGUAGGUCCCGAGCGUUGUCCGGAUUUAUUGGGCGUAAAGCGAGCGCAGGCGGUUUGAUAAGUCUGAAGUUAAAGGCUGUGGCUCAACCAUAGUUCGCUUUGGAAACUGUCAAACUUGAGUGCAGAAGGGGGAGAGUGGAAAUUCCAUGUGUAGCGGUGAAAUGCGUAGAUAUAUGGAGGAACACCGGUGGCGAAAGCGGCUCUCUGGUCUGUAACUGACGCUGAGGCUCGAAAGCGUGGGGAGCGAACAGGAUUAGAUACCCUGGUAGUCCACGCCGUAAACGAUGAGUGCUAGGUGUUGGAUCCUUUCCGGGAUUCAGUGCCGCAGCUAACGCAUUAAGCACUCCGCCUGGGGAGUACGACCGCAAGGUUGAAACUCAAAGGAAUUGACGGGGGCCCGCACAAGCGGUGGAGCAUGUGGUUUAAUUCGAAGCAACGCGAAGAACCUUACCAGGUCUUGACAUCCCGAUGCUAUUUCUAGAGAUAGAAAGUUACUUCGGUACAUCGGUGACAGGUGGUGCAUGGUUGUCGUCAGCUCGUGUCGUGAGAUGUUGGGUUAAGUCCCGCAACGAGCGCAACCCCUAUUGUUAGUUGCCAUCAUUCAGUUGGGCACUCUAGCGAGACUGCCGGUAAUAAACCGGAGGAAGGUGGGGAUGACGUCAAAUCAUCAUGCCCCUUAUGACCUGGGCUACACACGUGCUACAAUGGUUGGUACAACGAGUUGCGAGUCGGUGACGGCGAGCUAAUCUCUUAAAGCCAAUCUCAGUUCGGAUUGUAGGCUGCAACUCGCCUACAUGAAGUCGGAAUCGCUAGUAAUCGCGGAUCAGCACGCCGCGGUGAAUACGUUCCCGGGCCUUGUACACACCGCCCGUCACACCUACGAGAGUUUGUAACACCCGAAGUCGGUGAGGUAACCUUUUGGAGCCAGCCGCCUAAGGUGGGACAGAUGAUUGGGGGAAGACGAUAAGACGAGAACACC
rnacentral:rRNA from 1 species